rnacentral:rRNA from 1 species
CCUAGAAUAAAUCUAAGGUGCAACCUGCCCAAUGAUUUCCUAUUAUUAACCAUAAACAGUUAAAAAGAAGUUUAAAGGACGCAGUAACCUGACUGUGAUAAUGUAGCAUAAUCACUCGCCAUUUAAUUAAUGGAUAGUAUGAAUGGUUAAACGAAUCUUUCACUGUCUAAAAAAGAAGAGUCAUGAAAUUAAGAUAAUAGUCAAGACGCUAUUUAAAAAUGUAAGACGAAAAGACCCUAUAGAGCUUAACUAUAACCUUUCUAAAUAUUAAAGGAAGUUUCCUUAAAACAGAAAGUUUGGUAGUUUAGUUGGGGCGACUGCCUUUUAAAAAUAACAAAGGUAAGCUAUGUUAAUAAAAGAUUUAUUGUACAACCUUUAAGUUUAACAAUUACUAUAGUAGGCUAUAAUGACCCGUUGAAGUAAAGUAAUACACUCAACGACCAAUAAAUAAAAGCUACCUUAGGGAUAACAGGAUAAUUUUAUCUCAGAGAUCCCAUCGAAGAAAAAGUUUAUCACCUCUAUGUUGAAUUAAGAUAUCCUAGCAGUGCAAAAGCCGCUAAAGGUAGGUCUGUUCGACCUUUAAAAU